ACAGAGACAUUAUAGUGCACUAUCCAAACUUAAUUUUUUAUAAUUCAUGAAUGAAAAUAUUUUGUAACAUGAUUUUAAUGUACCAUUUACAUGGUAAUGCAAUGUCUGAUUUUAAAAUGGGUUUCAAAGGAUGAAUUUUGAAAUUUUAAGUUUUCUACUGAUAAAUAAUUUCUUAUGAUUUCUAAUUCGUGAUAGAGAAAAAGGCAACUAAGAAGACUUUCUGUGACAAAGCUGAUUUCACCAGAGGAGGAACCAACUCAUUCCUUUCAAGUCACAAGCAAGUUUCGAGUCAAAUCCCAAGACCUCAAUGAGUUGAGGAAAAUGUACUGGUAACAACUAAAAUAAAGACCAAAAAUAUAAUUCAACAGAGGAUGAUGACUCUGGUGAAACAAGCACUCAAAUAAUGAAACUAAGACCAGUGGGAGUGCUGGAGAAAUCAAGUGUAUAAGUCCUCUGUCUCCUCAGCAUGGAAGAGAUCUUCAGACAUGAGAUCGAGGAGUUAAAUGAAGUCAAAGAGCUAAAAGAAGAUCACAAUAUUAGUGCCAAUUCAGUAUGAAAACAGAGAGAGAGCUGAGGCAGUGGAAAGAAAUGCAUGUUAUUGUGCAAGGGGUAGCUGCAUGGACUAUCAGUGGAGGAACAGAAAGCUCUGAGAUUUCAUUAUAAAGAUCGUCAUUUGUGUUCUGAAGAUGAACGAAAGACUUGUGGGUUUGGAACGAUAUGAUGACUACAUCAAAAAUAGUGUUUCCACAUCUGAGAUGAAGGCAGUCCAAGCAGAACAAUGAGGAUAACCUCUUCAAAAAAUGAAACCUGCCUGAAUAAUGUGCAUGAUUGCGUGAUUUCUAAGUAAACACUAAGUACAUUUGGUGUAACUCACAGCCUGUUAUUUUAAAGUUUAAAGAAUAGUAAAAUAAUUUGUUGCAUUUCUG